UAGGGAAUCUUCCGCAAUGGGCGAAAGCCUGACGGAGCAACGCCGCGUGAGUGAUGAAGGUCUUCGGAUCGUAAAACUCUGUUAUUAGGGAAGAACAAAUGUGUAAGUAACUAUGCACGUCUUGACGGUACCUAAUCAGAAAGCCACGGCUAACUACGUGCCAGCAGCCGCGGUAAUACGUAGGUGGCAAGCGUUAUACGGAAUUAUUGGGCGUAAAGCGCGCGUAGGCGGUUUUUUAAGUCUGAUGUGAAAGCCAACGGCUCAACCGUGGAGGGUCAGUGGAAACUGGAAAACUUGAGUGCAGAAGAGGAAAGUGGAAUUCCAUGUGUAGCGGUGAAAUGCGCAGAGAUAUGGAGGAACACCAGUGGCGAAGGCGACUUUCUGGUCUGUAACUGACGCUGAUGUGCGAAAGCGUGGGGAUCAAACAGG
rnacentral:rRNA from 1 species